rnacentral:rRNA from 1 species
UCGAACGAGCGAGAGAGAGCUUGCUUUCUCGAGCGAGUGGCGAACGGGUGAGUAACGCGUGAGGAACCUGCCUCAAAGAGGGGGACAACAGUUGGAAACGACUGCUAAUACCGCAUAAGCCCACGGGUCGGCAUCGACCAGAGGGAAAAGGAGCAAUCCGCUUUGAGAUGGCCUCGCGUCCGAUUAGCUGGUUGGUGAGGUAACGGCCCACCAAGGCGACGAUCGGUAGCCGGACUGAGAGGUUGAACGGCCACAUUGGGACUGAGACACGGCCCAGACUCCUACGGGAGGCAGCAGUGGGGAAUAUUGCACAAUGGGGGAAACCCUGAUGCAGCGACGCCGCGUGGAGGAAGAAGGUCUUCGGAUUGUAAACUCCUGUUGUUGGGGAAGAUAAUGACGGUACCCAACAAGGAAGUGACGGCUAACUACGUGCCAGCAGCCGCGGUAAAACGUAGGUCACAAGCGUUGUCCGGAAUUACUGGGUGUAAAGGGAGCGCAGGCGGGAAGACAAGUUGGAAGUGAAAUCCAUGGGCUCAACCCAUGAACUGCUUUCAAAACUGUUUUUCUUGAGUAGUGCAGGGGUAGGCGGAAUUCCCGGUGUAGCGGUGGAAUGCGUAGAUAUCGGGAGGAACACCAGUGGCGAAGGCGGCCUACUGGGCACCAACUGACGCUGAGGCUCGAAAGUGUGGGUAGCAAA